GACGAACGCUGGCGGCGUGCUUAACACAUGCAAGUCGAGCGGAAAGGCCCUUUCGGGGGUACUCGAGCGGCGAACGGGUGAGUAACACGUGAGUAAUCUGCCCUUGGCUUUGGGAUAACCACCGGAAACGGUGGCUAAUACCGGAUACGACCACUCCCGGCAUCGGGUGGUGGUGGAAAGUUUUUUCGGCCUGGGAUGUGCUCGCGGCCUAUCAGCUUGUUGGUGGGGUAAUGGCCUACCAAGGCUUCGACGGGUAGCCGGCCUGAGAGGGUGACCGGCCACACUGGGACUGAGACACGGCCCAGACUCCUACGGGGGGCAGCAGUGGGGAAUAUUGGACAAUGGGCGGAAGCCUGAUCCAGCAACGCCGCGUGAGGGAUGACGGCCUUCGGGUUGUAAACCUCUUUCAGUACCGACGAAGCGCCGAUGAUGGCGGUGACGGUAGGUACAGAAGAAGCACCGGCCAACUACGUGCCAGCCGCCGCCGUAA
rnacentral:rRNA from 1 species